rnacentral:rRNA from 1 species
GAUGAACGCUGGCGGCGUGCCUAAUACAUGCAAGUCGAGCGAAUGAAGAGGAGCUUGCUCCUCAGAUUUAGCGGCGGACGGGUGAGUAACACGUGGGUAAUCUGCCUGUAAGACGGGGAUAACUCCGGGAAACCGGGGCUAAUACCGGAUAAUAAGAAGAAACGCAUGUUUCUUUUUUGAAAGUCGGUUUCGGCUGACACUUACAGAUGAGCCCGCGGCGCAUUAGCUAGUUGGGGAGGUAACGGCUCACCAAGGCGACGAUGCGUAGCCGACCUGAGAGGGUGAUCGGCCACACUGGGACUGAGACACGGCCCAGACUCCUACGGGAGGCAGCAGUAGGGAAUCUUCGGCAAUGGGCGAAAGCCUGACCGAGCAACGCCGCGUGAGCGAUGAAGGCCUUCGGGUCGUAAAGCUCUGUUGUUAGAGAAGAACAAGUACGAGAGUAACUGCUCGUACCUUGACGGUACCUAACCAGAAAGCCACGGCUAACUACGUGCCAGCCGCCGCAGUAAAAC